AUUUCAGUAACUCACGGUGUAGGUGAAACUAAUCUUGCUGUGCAGCUGUGCUAGCAGGGAGGCGCAGUGGCUCCUCAUCAGAACAGCAAGGUGUGUGUGGACAUCUGUAGGGUUGUGCUCUGGGUCUGAGACUGUUAUGUAUUUUUGCUGUUGGAAGGUGGACUAGAGCGUGUGCCCCUUAAACCUAAGGACAGUCAAAAGCUGGGAGGGACCCUAAGCAGGUUUGGUGGCACAACUGCAGUUUUAAAAGAUCUUGACUGUUUGGAGAAACGGCCUGGAAAAAAAUCAUUCCUUUUUUGCAACGAGGCAGUUUACAAGGACAGAUGUGUUGCUGUGCUCUUUAAUAAAAAUGUUCAACUUGGGACACAUAGGGUGAAGAAAUCUUGACUAUACUUAGGCUUGAGAAACUGCAUGUAGAUAUCUGUCUCUGUCAUCUGCAUAUAUCUGGGAAAGUGAGUUCUAGAGAAACUAAAGCUGCCAAUGAGUAAAAAAAAAGGCACGAUUGUCCAAAAAAUGCAAAAGCUCCAGUGGCCUGUAUCAACAACUGUACCAAAGAUGAUGCAGAAUAUGUUUUCCUCCGCUCAGUUGUACUGUCUUCACAAACCUUCGCAAAAAAAUGAAGCUUUAGAUUCCUACCCAGCUUUAUGCUAAAGGUUUUUUCCCCUCUCAGCUGGAUGUCAACUCCCACCACUUCACUGUAGUCGCCCUUUCUUCUGCUGUGAAAGUACAAGACAGAUGGAAAGAAUCCAUAGUGGUCUGCAAGUACAAGGCUUUCCCAAGAAGCAUUAGCAGCCUUGUAACUAGUGACAGUGAGUCCUGAGGUGGUUUUGUUUCCCAUGCUCUGCCAGCAAGCAGGUGUGCAAGAAGCUGGGAGGGAGCACAGCCAGGACAGCUGACCUGAACUAGCCCAAGGGAUAUUCCAUACCAUGGAACAUCAUGCCCAGUAUAUAAACUGGGGGGAGUUGGCCGGGAGACGCGGAUCGCGGCUCUGGCAUCGGUCAGCAGGUGGUGAGCAAUUGCAUUGUGCAUCACUGGGUUUUUUUUCCUUCCCCCCUCAUUCUUUUUUUUGUUAUAUUCCUUUUCAUUACUAUUAUUAUUAUGUUUCAUUAUUACUAUUGUUAGAUUAUAUUUUACUUUAGUUAUUAAACCGUUCUUAUCUCAACGCAUGAGUUUUACCUUCUUUCCCGAUUCUCCUCCCCAUCCCACUGGGAGUAGGGGGGGAGUGAGGGAG